rnacentral:pre_miRNA from 1 species
UAUAUACUCCCUCCGUUCGAAAAUAUUUGUCAAAGAAAUACAUGUAUCUAGACAUAUCUUAGUUAUAGACACACUCACUUUUAUACAUUUUUCCCACAAGUAUGUUUGGACGGAGAAAGUAUGAC